AUAAUAGUAAAGUUUAUUUAUAUAGCACUUUAUGCAAAAAGAUUUCACAAAGUGUUUUAUAAUAAAAUCAUAAGAAAAAUACAUAAGAAAAAAAAAACAACUCACAG